GACGAACGCUGGCGGCGUGCUUAACACAUGCAAGUCGAACGCGCCUGUCCUCUGGGUUUCUGGGGGGUGGGUGAGUGGCGAACGGGUGAGUAACACGUGAGUAACCUGCCCCCUUCUUCGGGAUAACGGUCUGAAAGGGCUGCUAAUACCGGGUAUUCACUGGUCUCCGCAUGGGGUCUGGUGGAAAGGUUUUUUUCUGGUGGGGGAUGGGCUCGCGGCCUAUCAGCUUGUUGGUGGGGUGAUGGCCCACCAAGGCUUUGACGGGUAGCCUGCCUGAGAGGGUGACCGGUCACAUUGGGACUGAGAUACGGCCCAGACUCCUACGGGAGGCAGCAGUGGGGAAUAUUGCACAAUGGGCGCAAGCCUGAUGCAGCGACGCCGCGUGAGGGAUGGAGGCCGUCGGGUUGUGAACCUCUUUCGCCCGUGGUCAAGCCGCGACGUGGGUCGUGGUGAGGGUAGUGGGUAAAGAAGCGCCGGCUAACUACGUG
rnacentral:rRNA from 1 species